rnacentral:lncRNA from 1 species
UUGUGUGACGCCCUCGAUUCAACCGUACACUAAUCAUACACGCAAAUGUGUACGAUCAAGAUCAAGGACUCACGGGGAGAUAUCACAACACAACUCUAGACACAAAUUAAAAUAAUACAAGCUUUAUAUUAUAAGCUAGGGCCUCGAGGGCUCGAAUACAUAAGCUUGAAAACACAAGAGUCAGCGGAAGCAACAAUAUCUGAGUACAGACAUGAGUUAAACAAGAUUGCCUUAAGGAGGCUAGCACAAAAGCAACAACGAUCGAAAAGGCAAGGCCUCCUGCCUGGGAGCCUCCUAACUACUCCUAGUCAUCUGCGGUCUUCACGUAUUAGUAGGCAUCCUACUGGUAGUAGUAGUCAUCAGUGGCGUCGUCUGGCUCCUGGGAUCCGUCAUCUGGUCGCAACAAUCGGGUAUGGGGGAAAAAGAAGUAGCAAAGCAACCGUGAGUACUCAUCCAAAGUACUCGCAAGACUUACAUCAGAUCUAAACUAAGUAUGCAUCUGUAUCAAAGGAAUGGGCUGUAUCUGUGGACUAAACUGCAGAAUGCCAGAAGAGAAGGGGAAAGCCUAGCCUAUCAAAGACUAGCAUCUUCUGGAAUCCACCAUCUUGCAGCAACAGGAGGGAGUAGAGUAGCACAAAGUAAAGUAGUAGAAGAGUUAUCAACCUCGGCCAGAGAUCCUUUCUCGACACCCCGCGAGAAAGCAAUCCUAGAGCCAUACUAUCCAGUUCUCGUCUUCAUUUCUCAUAUCCAUUUCUCAUCACAAUCCAUUUCUCAUCUCAGGUAUCCAGUUCUAGUUGUAUCAAUCGGGAUACAACUCCAAGUGUCCGUUACCGUAGGACAGGCUAUCGAUAGAUGUUUUCUUCCCUGCAGGGGUGCACCAACUUAACCACCACGCUUGAUUAACUCCAGCAGGACACACUUUCCUGGGUCAUGCCCGGCCUCGGCCAAACGAUACGCCGCAACCCGACCUAGGCUUAAUAGAGAGGCCAGCACGCCGGACUAAACCUAUGCCCCAGGGGUCAUGGUCCAUCUCCCCGGGAACUCCUGCACAUUGCGUACGCGGCCGGUGAGCAGACCUAGCUACCUCCUUCAACAAGGCAGGUGCUUACGCAGUCCAACCCGGCGCGCGCCGCUCAGUCGCUGACGUCUAUUAAGCUUCGGCUGAUGCAUACGAUGCAGAACGCCCAUACUAUGCCCACGUGAUGGUUAGUGCUAUCAGGCCAGAGGCCCCUCGGAUCAAAUAUCCAAAUCGUAGUGGAUUAAGAGCACGCGGUAACGAGCAGAGACUCACGAUCGAUGUGACCCCGUCGCCCCGUCUCGAGUACUUGCGGCAAGGGCUAAGAAUGCCCGGCCAUGCCUCGUAAGUAUCUCGCGGGCACCUUCCAGGUCCACCCGACUCCACAUCACUCGCGGGUACCCCUCAGGGUCAACCCGCCUAUCCAAGUAACAACUGUAAAGUCCAAGUAUUCGUGUGUGCAAACAUCAAGGGGAAAACCCGAGGAAUCACCCCCGGUAAAUUCCACUCGAUGUAAUCAUCAAGGUGAACGUAAGAGGAACCACCCUCAAGGUUCAUACUUGAGGGGUUGCACGACAGAGCCGUAUCGGAAGUGGUUAAGGAGGAAAUCACCCUCGAUGACCAUGACCGAUUAGCUACACUACAGAGGUCUCAUCAGGAGUGAUGUAAGAGGUUCCACCCUCGGCACUCGAUGGUAACUCUGCAGAGUCGUUCAACUAGGGGGGUGAUGUGCGGUGUCGGGGCCUGGACGUCGAUCACGUUGAUCGAGUCAUCGAACAUAAAGCGGGGCAAUUGGGACAAGGGGGGGUCACUGAUGGAUCACUAACCAACCUAUACUAAGCAGUUUAGGAUAAGCAUGUAGGUAACAAUAGCGGGUUACAAUAAACAGGCUAUGCAGCAGAAUAGGAGCAAACAAUUACUGUAGCAAAAUCUAGUGCAAGCACGAGAGAACCGAAUGGAUGAUAUCGGGAUGAUCAAAGGGGGGGCUUGCCUGGUUGCUCUAGCAAGGAGGGGUCGUCGUCAACGUAGUCGAUCAUAGGGGCAUCAGCAUCGGUCUCGAGGUCUACCGGAGAGAAGAGGGGGAAGAAACAGUAAAUAUAAAGCAAACAUAGCAUCACAAAGCGUAACGUGGCAGUAUGUUGUGCCGGGUGUGACCUAACGUAAGGCUACACAAUAUAGGUGAAGGGGGAAUUCAACCGGGAAUGUAUUCCCGGUUCUGGACCUGUGUUAGACAGAUGACCGGAGGAGGGGAAGUUCCAUGUUCAGAUAGUUAGGGGCAUCUGACGGGUAUGUGGGUAGCGUAUUCGGGUUCGCCUCGUUUUUUGAGCAACUUUCAUGUAUAAAGUUUUUCGAUCUGAGCUACAGUUUAUUUAAUAUGAUUUCUAAAGUUUUUUAUUAAUUCUAGAAUUUAAUUACUUAUUUCAACAUUAUCCAGAAUAGCAAAAGAUGACGUCAGCAUGACAUCAUGCUGACGUCAGCAGUCAACUACGUGUGGGUCCCGCAUGUCAUACACUGUUUAGUUUAAUUAGGGUUUAGCUAAUUAAUUGCUAUUUAAUUAAAUUAACUAAAUCAUUAGAUUAAUUUAAACAGGAUUAAUUAACUUACUAAUUAAUUAAUUAAUAAUUUUAUUAAUUACAUUUUCAUUUCUUUUUAAAUUUUCAUUUUAGGGGGGUGUGGGGCCCCUACGUUAGUGGCCCAGGGGCAUCGGGCCCCACCCGGCAGUGGCCCAGGAGGCAACCGGGCGAAAUGGGUGCGGGCGCCCGCCCGCAUGGCCUCGGGCGUGAGGGUGCUGGAGCCGGGCGGGGUGGACCCAGGCGACGGCAUGGUCACCGCGGGGCUCGUCGGUCGCCCCGCGGCAGGCGGAGGCGGGCGCAGGGGCAGCCACAGUGUGGGGCAGCAGGCGGUGGAGGACGAGCGGUGGCGCUGGGCUCGGACGCGCGAGCAGGCGAGGUCUAACCUGGCUGGAGGCAGCGCCCAGUCGCGGCGGCGACGGUGAUGGCCGCGAGCGGUGCAACGGGUGCGCGGUCAGGGCACGGCGAUGGCAUUUAGCCGACGCCGACGCGGAACGAGGGGGGAAAGGAGGGCUCACCCCCGUUGCAGGGGUACGGCGGCGAAGGCGCGAUGGCGCCGGUGGGGAGGAGGACGGGGAUGUUCCGGCAACGGGGAUGAAGGCGAUCUGGCGAC